rnacentral:rRNA from 1 species
GGGUGAGUAACACGUGGAUAACCUACCUAUAAGACUGGGAUAACUUCGGGAAACCGGAGCUAAUACCGGAUAAUAUAUUGAACCGCAUGGUUCAAUAGUGAAAGACGGUUUUGCUGUCACUUAUAGAUGGAUCCGCGCCGCAUUAGCUAGUUGGUAAGGUAACGGCUUACCAAGGCAACGAUGCGUAGCCGACCUGAGAGGGUGAUCGGCCACACUGGAACUGAGACACGGUCCAA